UGUUCACUAUCCAAAAACUUGUUAUUAUGUUCUUCUUUUUUCACUUGAAAAAGAAGGUGUGGAUCAACCCCGCAGUUUCCUGUCCUUGUAGACUUGUAUUCUAGACGCUUAUUAUUGUCGAUUGAUGUGUUAAGAGCUCGAGGGCAUUUUAUACAAUGAAAGGAGUUGGAACGUGCACAUGGUGGAUAUGGGUAGAGUCAGCUGGAGCUGGCUAUCUAUUUAUAUCUGGAAAAGUAUUCUCCCUGUCUAGCUUGAUGUUCUUUGGAUUUGUUAGGCAUUGGUGUGACUGUUUGUAAGUAGUCUUCAAUACCUGGAUAGCUGAGGUUGAUAUCACCCUACAGGAUAAGAUUUUGAGUGGCUUUGCAGUCAUAGUCUUGUUAGUGGUGUUGUUCAUAGCUCUAUCAGCUCUAUGGCCUUGUUACUUUUAGGUACCUGUAG